rnacentral:rRNA from 1 species
AAUUCGCCCUUAGAGUUUGAUCCUGGCUCAGAACGAACGCUGGCGGCAGGCCUAACACAUGCAAGUCGAACGGGAUCUUCGGAUCUAGUGGCGGACGGGUGAGUAACGCGUGGGAACGUGCCCUUUGGUUCGGAAUAGCCCUGGGAAACUGGGAGUAAUACCGGAUACGGUCGAGAGACGAAAGAUUUAUCGCCGAAGGAUCGGCCCGCGUUGGAUUAGGUAGUUGGUGGGGUAAUGGCCUACCAAGCCGACGAUCCAUAGCUGGUUUGAGAGGAUGAUCAGCCACACUGGGACUGAGACACGGCCCAGACUCCUACGGGAGGCAGCAGUGGGGAAUCUUAGACAAUGGGGGAAACCCUGAUCUAGCCAUGCCGCGUGAGCGAUGAAGGCCUUAGGGUUGUAAAGCUCUUUCAGUGGGGAAGAUAAUGACGUACCCAC